rnacentral:rRNA from 1 species
AAGGACGAAGCCAUGCAUGCCCGCUCACCCGGGACGCGGCGGACGGCUCAGGACGACGCUUGCACAACCCGCGGCGGUCCCUGCUAGCCGGACACCGCUGGCAACCCGGCGCCAAGACGUGCGCGCAAGGGCGGGCGCCCGCGGGCGAGCAGCGUGACGCAGCGACGGCCCGCCCGGGCUUCCGGGGCAUCACCCGGUCGGCGCGGUCGCGGCGCGCCGAGGGCCCGACGC